ACUAAUCUAGUUUAUAUAAAAUAUUAGCUUGUCAAGUUAAAGAUACAGUUUGUUUGUGAUUGGUA
rnacentral:tRNA from 1 species